rnacentral:rRNA from 1 species
GAGGAAUAUUGGUCAAUGGACGGAAGUCUGAACCAGCCAAGUAGCGUGCAGGAAGACGGCCCUAUGGGUUGUAAACUGCUUUUGUAUGGGGAUAAAGUUAGGGACGUGUCCCUAUUUGCAGGUACCAUACGAAUAAGGACCGGCUAAUUCCGUGCCAGCAGCCGCGGUAAUACGGAAGGUCCAGGCGUUAUCCGGAUUUAUUGGGUUUAAAGGGAGCGUAGGCUGGAGAUUAAGUGUGUUGUGAAAUGUAGACGCUCAACGUCUGAAUUGCAGCGCAUACUGGUUUCCUUGAGUACGCACAACGUUGGCGGAAUUCGUCGUGUAGCGGUGAAAUGCUUAGAUAUGACGAAGAACUCCGAUUGCGAAGGCAGCUGACGGGAGCGCAACUGACGCUGAAGCUCGAAGGUGCGGGUAUCGAACAGGAUUAGAUACCCUGGUAGUCCGCACAGUAAACGAUGGAUGCCCGCUGUUGGUACCUGGUAUCAGCGGCUAAGCGAAAGCAUUAAGCAUCCCACCUGGGGAGUACGCCGGCAACGGUG